AAAGUAUUUAUCGCUCAAGGAGGGGGUGCGGCCUAUCAGGUAGUUGGUGAGGUAAUGGCUCACCAAGCCUAUGACGGGUAGCCGGUCUGAGAGGAUGUCCGGCCGCAAUGGAACUGAGAACGGUCCAUACUCCUACGGGAGGCAGCAGUGGGGAGUAUUGGACAAUGGGCGAAAGCCUGAUCCAGCGAUUCUGCGUGAAGGAUGAAGCCUCGUGGGGUGUAAACUUCUUUUCUGGGAGAAGACGAAUGACGGUAUCUCAGGAAUAAGAGACGGCUAACUACGUG
rnacentral:rRNA from 1 species